rnacentral:lncRNA from 1 species
GCGGUCAAGGGAAAUUCCCAUGAUGAUUGCUACAAUAAUACAAAAUCACCUAAAAUUUAAUCACAUAUAUCCAAAAAGCAAAACCAUUUAGCUUUGUAAUGAAACUCAUUUAAUGUUUUAACGGAAUCGCUUCUAACCUGGAUUUCUGAUACCACUAUGUAGCUGCAACGCGUCGACAGCUUAACUUUCAGCUACGGUGCUAAAUUGUUGACAUUUUGCUUUUAUUUUGUUUCCAUUUCAUUUUUCCCUAACUUAGGAUUACAUUCCUGUUAGAAUAACUUUUAACGAUCGAAAAGCAAAGAGAAACUAGCCAUUUCCACAGUUUCUGAUAGCUCAUCAAGGAUUUUGCUUAAUAUAGAGAUACAAUUAUUUCUGGUUGUUUCUGUAAUCAUAUCAAGAAAUUGUUGAAUUUGAUCCAAACCUGAAAAUUCAUUACCAGCUGAUCUUCAUCCAGUUACUCCUGACCCAAUUUUACUUACAAACUUACAUACUGCACUAAAUACCCAACAAGGAACGACAAAAUCUUCACAAACUUAAAAAACUCGACAGUCUACACCUACAAUUUUUGCUGCAAUAUCUUGCAGAAAUGGACUCAUGAUCAAGAACCAAUCCAUGCCCCAACAAUAACAAACCCAAUGGUACAGAAGCAAAAGAAACAACUUUGAUCCUCCAAUAAGAAAAAAAACCAAAAAUAACCUUAAAAAUAGAAUCAGCACUAUAUAAUUGAGCUAAUCAUGAUCACAAUUCCACGAAAAGAACUCAAAAGAAGAAAUUUUAAAACAUGGGUGAAAAAAAAAUUAAACGAUACUAAAUGGGUGAAUAGAUCAAAGGGUGGAAAUGGAAAAUAGGGGAACUAAAACUAACCCAC